rnacentral:rRNA from 1 species
AGUGAAGCGGCAACAGCUCAAAUUUGAAAUCUGGCUCCUUUGGGGUCCGAGUUGUAAUUUGUAGAGGAUGUUUCGGGUGCGGCGCCGGUCUAAGUCCCUUGGAACAGGGCGUCAUAGAGGGUGAGAAUCCCGUAUGUGACCGGCGACCAACCCCAUGUGAAACGCCUUCCACGAAUCGAGUUGUUUGGGAAUGCAGCUCAAAAUGGGUGGUAAAUUUCAUCUAAAGCUAAAUACCGGCCAGAAACCGAUAGCGCACAAGUAGAGUGAUCGAAAGAUGAAAAGCACUUUGGAAAGAGAGUUAAAAAGUACGUGAAAUUGUUGAAAGGGAAGCGCUUGCAACCAGACCUGUCUGCGGGCGAUCAACAGUCGUUUCGGCUGUGUACUCSUCCGUAAUCAGGCCAGCAUCGGUUUGGGCGGUCRGAUAAAGGCCUCGGGAAUGUGGCUCCCUUCKGGGAGUGUUAUAGCCCUUGGCGKAAUACGGCCAGCCUGGACCGAGGACCGCGCUUCGGCUAGGAUGCUGGCGUAAUGGUUGUAAGCGGCCCGUCUUGAARCACSGACCAAGGAGUCUAAUAUCUAUGCGAGUGUUUGGGUGUURAACCCAUGCRCGUAAUGAAAGUGAACGUAGGUGGGAACCCUUUAGGGCGCACCACCGACCGAUCCUGAAGUUUACSGAUGGAUUUGAGUAAGCAUAGCUAUUGGGACCCGAAAGAUGGUGAACUAUGCCUGAAUAGGGUGAAGCCAGAGGAAACUCUGGUGGAGGCUCGCAGCGGUUCUGACGUGCAGAUCGAUCGUCAAAUUUGGGUAUAGGG